rnacentral:ncRNA from 2 species
GCGAUAUCAAGAGAGAGGGGAGAGCACUGGCUCAAUGAUCCUCCGGCAACUGGCUUUGUGAGAGCGCGGUGCCAACCCAGCCCCGAACGGGGAAGGAUAACAA